UGUGUCCCUGCUACCAGUGGCCCUCUGCCAUAUUUAUUCAUGCCGGGCAAGAUGGCGGCGAUACGGACGAUGUGUUAUUGCCAGUGGACAUAAACAGGCAUUUUAUUCAAAAUACAAAACCUAGUCCGAUACAUUUACACACUUAGCCGCAUUCUGUGGUUAUUUACCGCGCAACAAGCGUCGACUUCUUUUUCAUUUUACGCGUUUCAACGUUUUUUUCUUACAAAAUGUUCACGUUGUAGCUCGCUCGCUAACCGACCAGCUGGCUAACAGAGAGCUAAGUUAGCUAUCUACCGCAGCCAAGCCGCCGUGAAGUGGAGAAUGGGAGAAAAGCUUGAGCUAAAGCUCAAAUCACCGGUUGGAGCAGAACCUGCUGGUUAUCCGUGGCCAUUGCCAGUAUACGAUAAACACCAUGAUGCUGCUCAUGAAAUCAUCGAGACCAUUCGGUGGGUGUGUGAGGAGAUCCCAGACCUCAAACUGGCCAUGGAAAACUACGUACUCAUUGACUAUGACACCAAGAGCUUCGAGAGUAUGCAGAGACUUUGUGACAAGUACAACAGGGCCAUCGACAGCAUUCACCAGCUGUGGAAAGGGACGACGCAGCCCAUGAAGCUCAACAAGCGUCCUUCAAACGGGCUGCUGAGACACAUCCUACAGCAGGUGUACAACCACUCAGUUACCGACCCGGAGAAGCUGAACAACUAUGAGCCCUUCUCCCCUGAGGUGUACGGAGAGACCUCUUUCGACCUGGUGGCUCAGAUCAUCGACGAGAUGGAAAUGAUGGAAGAUGACACCUUUGUUGACCUCGGCAGUGGAGUUGGUCAGGUAGUGCUGCAAGUUGCAGCAGCAACCAACUGUAAACACUACUACGGUGUAGAGAAAGCAGACAUUCCAGCUACAUAUGCAGAGACCAUGGAUAAAGAGUUUAAAAAGUGGAUGAAAUGGUACGGGAAGAAACAUGGGGAGUACACACUGGAGAGAGGUGACUUUCUGUCUGAAGAAUGGAAGGAAAGAAUCGCCACCACAAGUAUUAUUUUUGUGAAUAACUUUGCCUUUGGUCCAGAAGUAGAUCACCAGCUGAAGGAGCGCUUUGCUAACAUGAAGGAAGGUGGAAAAAUUGUGUCCUCCAAACCUUUUGCACCUUUAAAUUUUAGAAUAAACAGUCGAAACUUGAGUGAUAUUGGCACAAUAAUGCGUGUGGUGGAGCUUUCUCCACUGAGGGGCUCUGUGUCCUGGACGGGAAAGCCAGUGUCCUACUACCUGCACACCAUAGACCGCACCAUACUUGAAAACUAUUUUGCUAGUCUCAAAAAUCCUAAACUCAGGGAGGAGCAAGAGGUAGCUAGGCGACGUCAGCAGAAGGACACAAAGGACAGUAAAAGCAAUAGCACCACGCCCACUAAACCUAAAGAACAAAACAAGCAGGACUCCUGUGGUGAGGAUGAGCGUCCUAGCUUGGUGACAGUGGUCAAGCCCUCUGCUAAACCCCGAAGAGCCCGACUCUUGCCCAAAGCUCGCAAGUUGAACAACAAGAAACGUGGUCGACCCAAGAAAGCUGCCCCGGCUGCCGAGAAGAAAAACAAGAAGAAUCAGAGCGCAUUGGAUCUGCUUCAUGCCAAGACCCUUUCGGCGGCACCCCCUCAGGAUGCAUACCGGCAACCUCAGAGUCCCUUCUACCAGCUUCCCCCCAAGGUCCAGCACUAUCCCUCUAGUCAGCUGCUUCUGAGCCCGACUCCUCCUGGUCUGCAACAACUGCUAGACAACAUCAAAGUUCAAUACCUCCAGUUUAUGACCCACAUGAAGACUCCUCAGUACCGCUCAAACCUGCAGCAGCUUUUAGAACAGGAGAAGCAAAAACACAGGGACCUGUCAGGGCAGGCAGAGCAGCUCCACUCUGUUUGUCAGUCUCACAAGGAUAAGAUUAAAGGUCUCUUUCAGACCAAACUAGAUGAGCUGGGAGUGAAAGCAUUGACUGUGGAGGACCUGCUGCAGGCCCAGACGGAGAUAUCAGCCCACAAUCAUCAGCUGAAAGAGCAGACUAAGCAGCUUGAGAGAGACAUGGCCUUGCUGAGAGACCACAGCCUGCUACUGCUGAAGUCUCGAUGUGAGGAGCUAAAGCUAGAUUGGGGCUCUUUGUGUCUGGAGAGUUUGUUGAAGGAGAAGCAGGCACUACGCAGACAGAUCUCUGAGAAACAGAGACACUGCUUGGAGCUGCAGAUCAGCAUUGUGGAGCUGGAGAAAAGUCAAAGGCAGCAGGAGCUGCUUCACCUUAAAUCCUACAGCCCCUGUGAUGGCUCCCCAUACAGAAAGAGCCUAGAAUCUCGCUCUUCCACAGACCUGGACACCUCUAAGCUUGGCCUGUCCUCGGCCCCAGCCCUCAACGGCGUCAGCCCAGAGCUGUCUAUCAAUGGCACAAGCUCACCCUGUUUUGACCGGGCCAACACCAAGGGGGAGCUUCUUUCUCGCUACCUGCCCAUCUCUCCAGACCAUGAGAUUUUACCCACCAUCCCCGAUGUCCGGCAAAGGCAGCAAAGUUUGUCCUACGCUCUUCCUGAUUACACACGCUUCUCCCCCGCAAAGAUUGCCUUGCGGAGACACCUUAACCAGGACCCCACAGCCUCUGCUCACUUGAGAAGUCCAGGGCUGACCGCACACAGGGAAUUGGGUGGUGUGAACUCUCCGCUUGGAGCCAAAAUGAACUGCCCCUCUCCCAAUGCAGCUGAUGCCCAGAUUAAAAGUUUUGAGAGGGGUGGUAAGGAGAGGAGCCCAUCUGUUCAGGGUGACAACAGCAUUACGAGCCUUCCAAUAAGUAUCCCUCUAAGCACUGUCCACCCAAGUAAACUACCAGUCAGCAUCCCCCUGGCGAGCGUGGUGCUGCCCAGUCGUGCUGAGAGACUGAGAAGUACUCCGAGUCCUGUGUUUCAGGCAGGUCAGACCAAUGGAUAUUCAUCCAGCUCAGGGCUGAUGAAUGGAGGUCCCCAUCCUGAGGACCAUAAUGGGGCUUCUUCAUCACCUCCUCCACACCCCAACACUACUUUGGCAGGACCAUUGGGCAGAGGAGGUCCCAUCCAGAGCCCCCCACUCAGCACUGGAGGGGUGCUCCAGUAUGCAGAUGGGCCCCCGAGGAUUCUUCCAGAAGACGGACAGGAUCGUCAAGGAGGUGACUCCGACACGGAGCCCCAGGACAGUGAACUGCGGAGGAGAAUCUUCUUCUCCUCUUGCUCCUCUUCCUCCUCGUCUUCCUCUUCGUCAGGCAGUGGAGGCAGCGCGGCCGUAGGAUCACGCCUCCACCAUCACACUGGCAACAAGCAGGGAUACCACAGUAACCAUGGAAACCACCACCACCAGUCCCCCGGCACACAGCACACUCCCACACCCACACACAUGUCGUCAUUACACGCCUCUCACAGCCUCGUCUCUCAAGAGGGACGUAAGCGGGGGAGAAGGAAACGCAGCUCUACCGUGGCUGUCGCAGCCAGCGGAUCUCCGAAGAGGAGGUCGUUCCCCGGGCUCUGCUCCAACAACCACUCCUCAGGAUCGCCACUCAACAUCAACACCAUGGUGAACAACAUCAACCAGCCUCUGGAGAUCUCUGCCAUCUCCUCCCCAGAACAAUCAAGCCGUAGCCCCACUGGGCCUGACCUGGACCAGCCUCCCAUCUUGAAGAGAGAGCGCCCCCUGGAGCUCAAUGGCACAGGCCGUUACUCCUCUGCCCCCAGCUCUGAUGACGAGGACUCGGGAUACCCUGCGGACAGCUCUAGUUCACGAAUUGAAAGAAAAAUUGCCACUAUAUCCCUGGAGAGCAGAGAUGGACCUGGUAGACUAGGGGAUGGUGAAAGAGUCAGGAAGUCUGGCGGCAGCAGUGGUAACAGCACAGGCAGCGAGGCCUCCUCUACAUCCUCCUUGUCCUCUACCAGCAAGUGGAAAUCCACCUUUUCACCCAUUUCUGACCCCAAGCAACCCAACUCUGACCUGAGACAGGGGGGGUCUCCAUUUGGCAUGGGGGGGUCGAGCCGGGGCACAGACUCAGAUUCUGACCACAAACAGCAGCAUCAGCAGGUGAGGAAAGGAAGUGACGGAGAGUCGUCCAGCUACAUGAACCCCAACCCCUUCCUCAGUCAGGAGGCAGGGCUGCGGGGGGGCGGCGGUGGCGGCGGCGGCGGAACCCAGGGAUGCAGCGGUUCCGACCAACGCCAGGCCCUCCAGAAGCAGAAGGCCCCUCGCGACUGGGAACUGAAGACGAGCAGCAGCAUGGCCAGUCAGAACCUCUUCAUAUCUGCUGCUGCCAGCAGUGGUGGGGGCAUUUUGAGUGGGAAGGUGGGGGGCAGUCCUGUAGCAGUUUCCUCAACCACAGGAUCCUCUGUGGGGCAGUACCUGGGGUCUCAGUUCCCACUCGGAGGGACGUCUGUUCUACAGUCCUUGUUCGGGGCCCAGACGGGCGGAUCCACGGUGAGUGGGACUCCAAGGCUCGUCAACGGACACUCAGCCCUGGGAAGCUUCUCCAGCGCUGGGCUGGCGGGGGGAGUGGCUGGAGGUAUAUUUCACCACGUGGUUCCCACAGUGUCUUCCCAUCAGUUUGGGGUGACGCUGCCCACCUCUGGAGGCCUCAGCUCUCUGCUCAGUCUCUCGUCCUCGUCCUCUACCUCCUCCCAAACCCAGCAGCACACCACUCCCCAGCCAGCCUCCAUGCGCCUGGCCUCCGUGUCCUCGCCUCUCCCCCUCUCCCAGGCUCAGCACAGCCGCACUCAGUCAGUCCUGCACAGCCCCUCUCCUCCCACGCUCACCCUGCCCCCUCCCCCGCCCCUCCACAGCACCUCCUCCUCAGCACCCACGCACUCGGACGCCCCGCCAUCAUCUCGAUCCGACUCCCUCCACUCCUCCCGUCUGUCCCACUCCUCUCUCCAUCACCAGAGAGCACAGUCAUCCCUCUCUCUCUCCAUCUCCGCCUCCUCUGCUUCUGUCUCUGCUGCUGCCACCGCUGCCGCUUCCCUCUCCUCUUCCUCUCUGUCGACAUCCUCCUCGUCUCGUCCAUUCGCAGUGCACUACUCCCCUCGGCUGCCCCCUCCACCACAGGCCAGCAGCUCAGGUGGUGGCGGGAGCAUGUGGAGGACUCAGGGCAUGCAUGGUAACUACACAACCUCCCAGCUCCCUGGCUCCCGACCUAGAUAGGGUUUGGGGGGGAAGGGGGGGGGGGGGAAGGGCGAAGGGCAAUCAGAAGGUGGAGAGAAUGAGAGAGAGAGAGAGAGAGAGAGACUGGUAGGGAGUGAGAGAGACAGGAUACCUGUUUUUCAUGUGCUCCCAAAACAGUGAUGUUCUGAUUAAGCAAGGUAAUUGUUGAAAACUACCUCAAAAUUAAAUAAACUAUGCAAAUGUCCAGGUGUGGACCAAGGCACUCUCCUCACUCACUGGUGCUUGAAAUCGUCUGCACUACCCAACCGCCUCCAAGACCGGCUUCUGUACUGGGAUCUCUGAGAGACACACACACACACACACACACACACACACACACACACACACACACACACACACACACACACACACACUCACACUCACACUCAAUAACCACCACUAUGGUCACCUUGAACAGAAUUCACAGGUACCGGUCAUGUUUAUGUGUUGGUUUGAAGAUUUUGCAAUAUGGAAAUCAGUACUGGCUGCUGCUCAGCACUCAAAUGAACUGAAUUAUAAAGAUUUCUGGUUUAAAUUAAAGGUGCUCAAUAGUA